CGUGUAGGCGGGGAUGCAAGUCAGAUGUGAAAUUCCGGGGCCCAACCUCGGCACUGCAUCUGAAACUGUGUCUCUUGAGUGCUGGAGAGGAAAGUGGAAUUCCUAGUGUAGCGGUGAAAUGCGUAGAGAUUAGGAGGAACACCAGUGGCGAAGGCGACUUUCUGGACAGCAACUGACGCUGAGGCGCGAGAGCGUGGGGAGCAAACA
rnacentral:rRNA from 1 species